rfam:Cryptococcus bestiolae CBS 10118 unplaced genomic scaffold supercont1.8, whole genome shotgun sequence.
AUCUACGACCAUCGAGUGAAGAAUAUACCGCAUCCCGUUAGCUCUGCGAAGUCAAGCUUCUCAUCGCUCGGUUAGUACCAAAGUCGGGGACGAUUUGGGAAUCCCGAGUGUUGUAGUUU